CUUUUAUGCAAACCAAUCAUUUUCCAGAAAUGCCUCUGUGAGGACAUUAAUGCGUCAGGAGGCCUGUUUUGCGAAUGAAGAUGGAUACUCUGAUUUUAAAGGGUCCGGAGGCUGGACAAAAUGUUCAUAAGGAAGAUGAAACCCAACUAUCGUGUCUUCGCGUUUAAUGCUUCUCCUUGAUUAAACCUUAACAUCCCAUAGAAUGAAAGAGAUGGAAAUUAUUAUGGCACCUGCAGGUAGACAAGAACACGGCUUACAGGAAGUUGCUGAGUUCAUUAGUUGGCUGCUUGUCCGAGGCAGAAGUUAUAUGGGAGGUUGGCAGGAGGAAUGGAUUUUCUGGACAUUACUACGUGCAGAAGCAAGUCCUGGUUACGCCGUGAGGAAAAUAAUGCACUUAUAGCUGUAUGCACAAGCCUCACGUGCACUCAAAUGGGUCAACUGGGUUUUCCUUGACCGGUUUCACCACAUGAUUGACAAAUCACCAAUCCUGCUUUAAGUGCUUGGAGUUAAUGAACUCAGAAGCUGCCAAUCCCGACCAUUUCUACUAUUUGUCAAGAGCCACCCUCAUGUGGAGAAGGGAAGGAUCUCAGGCUAAGAAGUAUGUUCCCGAUCCCUGCAUCCACCAGUUACUACUUCAUCGCUCUGUGCCUCAGUUUACUUGUCCAAGAUAUGGUGCCUUCCUCCCGGGGUUCUGGUGAGGAUGAAGUGACUUAAUGCAUCGAAGACAAUGAGAAGAGUGCCUGGCAUGAAGGAAUUCCUGUAUUUGGUUGACCUGUCAUCCCCCAAAUGAUAACAGUAAUAAAACUCACCACAUCUGCA
rnacentral:lncRNA from 12 species